CUCUUAUCGAGAGUGGCGGAGGGACUGGCCCGAUGAAGCCCGGCAACCAGUCGGUGGCGGUGGUCACCGGCCAGGUGCUAAUUCCUGCGGGAGAUCGAUUCUUCUGGGAGAUAAGAG
rnacentral:ncRNA from 22 species